rnacentral:rRNA from 1 species
CGGAAGGAUCAUUAUCAUACAAUGGAGGUGCAAGGGCUGUUGCUGACCUUUCAAAGGUUCGUGCACGCCUGAGUGCUCCUAUCACACAUCCAUUUCACCCUUAUGUGCAUCAUCGCGUGGGAGGCCCACGUUUUUCUUUUUCACACAAACCUCAAAGUAGUGUAGUAGAAUGUACUUUCUUUAUUUUGCGGUGAUAUGCAAUCAAUACAACUUUCAACAACGGAUCUCUUGGCUCUCGCAUCGAUGAAGAACGCAGCGAAAUGCGAUACGUAAUGUGAAUUGCAGAAUUCAGUGAAUCAUCGAAUCUUUGAACGCACCUUGCGCCCCUUGGUAUUCCGAGGGGCACACCCGUUUGAGUGUCGUGAAAUCCUCAAAAAGCCCCUUUCUUGAUUGUUAAGAAAUGGAUUUUUGGACUUGGAGGGAUCAAUGCUCGCUGUCAGUUAUUGAAAGGGAGCUCCUCUAAAAUAAAUCAGCGGGGUUUGCUUUGCUGAUCCUUGACGUGAUAAAGUGAUUCUACGUUUUGGAUUAUAGCAUUGUCUUUUUUUAAACACCUGCUUCUAAUUGUCUUAUGGGCUUUUAGACCCACAAGAAGGAGAAAACCCUUGACCUCAAAUCGGGUGAGACUACCCGCUGAACUUAAGCAUAUCAAU